GAGGUCAUUCAACAGGUCAACCCAGUGGCUUUCAGGCUCCGGUUACCCAACCACAUGAAACUGCACCCAGUAUUUCACAGGUCGUUACUGUCACCGUACGAGGGGGGACGAGAAGGGAUGGCCACUGGGACCGGUCAUAGAAGAAAGAGAAUGCAGCAGUCAUGUGGCAGAAAUCCUUGAUGCCAGGUGGAAGGGGAAUCAGGUGGAGUAUUUGGUAGCGUGGGAAGGAGAACCGGAGUCAGAAAACACGUGGGUAAUGGCCAAAGAUAUCAAUGACGAGGUAUUGAUAGAAAUGUUCCAUCAAAGGUUCCCGCGGAAACCUCAGCCUGUGGAGAGGUUCCGGAGGGAAUACUUUGGGACCACUGAGGAGGAGGAGGAGUUGGAAGGAUUCCCAGAAUCGGAAGGGGAAGGGGAGAUGGACUCGGAGGAGGAGGAGUGCUUCGAGACCAGGAACCGCAACAGGUGGAGAGAAGUGUUCGAGACAUCGGAAGAUGAAGGAAGUUCAUUCCGGGGUUGUGCCUCCUCACCGCCCGUAGAGGAGGGGGCGAGAGGGGGUGAAGGGGGCCCUGGAGGGGAGGUGGAUGUCAGGGAACUGCCAUCGGUAGGAAGGGAGGUGAAAGGACUCAGACAGGUUGGAAGAGACUUAGCAGCUGAAGAGGAAACCAGCAGGGGGAGAGAAGCUGAACUGAGGGAGGUGAAAGGGCUCAGACAGGUUGGAAGAGACUUAGCAGCUGAAGAGGAAACCAGCAGGGGGAGAGAAGCUGAACUGAGGGAAAGGGAGCUGGGGGGAUGGCUCAGAGAUACUUCCAGCGAAAACAGUGGUGAGGUUUCCGGACCUCCUGUAGCGACACCCACUCCUCGCCGGAAACUGUCACGCAGAGAGUCCAGAAGACGUGUUUCCGUUAAGGAGCUUUUAUGUUGGAAGCGAUUACGAAAGCAACCACUGUCGGAAUCUUCUAGUGACUAAGAGGAGCCAUGUCAGAGGGGCUCAGUCACAGACAGAGGUUUGUGGACUUGAACAAACUCUGAGGGAAUACGAUUUUACGCACAAGCAGCUCAUAAUCCCAUCACAA